rnacentral:lncRNA from 1 species
AACAGUGGGGUGACCGGACCCUGUUGUUGCCGGUAGAAUGUGGGCCUCCGUCCUCCCGGAAGCCGCAGACUCGGGCUGUGCCUCCGUGGACCCUUCCUGGCCACUUUCUCCUGACCCGUGUCCGCCAGGCUGCCGGACCCCGCCCCUCCCCGGGACGUCACGGGAUCUCUGUAAACGCAUUGUUGACUUAGAAAAGUACUUCUCUGAACAGCCUGCAGCCUUCAGGACAUCCUUCUUUUCUUUUACAUGGUGGUAAAACUGGAUACAGUCGAAUGGAAAAUUCUCUUUGACUUGCAGUUGUGCUCUCACCAAGCCUACGUCACACU